UCCUCCGACUCGUUCCCACUGCCAGUUCUCGCUGCAAAGCAAGUUUGAAAUCGUCAUUUCAUCUUGUGUCGAUGGCUCUUUCGAGCCACGUCUACUUACUCACAACUUUCAGCGAUGGAUGUCUCGGUUCGAUCAACGAUGAAGGGCGCAGCGAAGUGCGAUAAGCAUUGUGAAUUGCAGAAUUCCGUGAACCGACAGGGACUUGAACGCAUAUUGUGCUUUUGGGAUAUCCCUGAAAGCAUGCCUGCUUCAGUGUCUACGCUUUGUUGUUCCAGCAGCUGUAGCCUCUUGCGGGGCAUGCUGCUUGCGAUCUCUUGCGCCUCAGGACGUGCUCUCUCGGCGCUCUUGAGGUGUUCGAUGGACAAGGCUCUGCUUCGACAGCCAGCUUACUGAGCGCACCUCGGUGUCAUUUGGUUGCUGUGCGACGUUGUAGCUUGGAGCUUUGCUCUCCUUUUCCUGUUGUGCUCUCCGAGCGCUUCAGCAUUCAAGACAUGAAGUCAGGUUGGCAAACCCGCUGAAUU
rnacentral:rRNA from 1 species